CCUGUCUUUCAUGAAACCUGUCCCUGGUGCCAAAAAGGUUGGGGACUGCUGGCUUACAGGACUUCUCAACCUCCUUUGCAGCAAACCUGGACCCAUAGAAUGAAGACCAGAUUGUUAUUAUAAGGAACUUGGAGACAGAGCCUGGUGCAUAAUGCUGGAGUGCAAUGGUGUGAUCUCGGCUCACUGUAACCUCUGCCACCUGGGUUCAAGUGAUUCUCCUGCCUCAGCCUCUCAAGUAGCUGGGAUUACAGGUGCACACCACCAUGCACGGCAUGGGGCCCUUACCAGACUCCACCAGAUGUGGCUACCCAAUCUUGAAUAUCCCAGACUUCAGAACUGUGAGCUAAACAAACUUUUUUCUUUAUAAAUUAUUCAGUCUCAGGUAUUCUGUUAUAGCAAUACAAAAUGAACGAGGGUGGCCAAUUUAAGAAAAUAGCAUCUAGAUUAAGCAGCAAAAUGAGGGCAUAUUAUGACAAAUGAUGAGAGAUCCCAACAUGCCCAAAUUUAAAUGGCUUGGAUUCAACUCUAUCUCCUUGGGGAAAAAGGAAAGGGAAAAGAAUAAUUUAAAUGGGGUGAGUGAUUCUGUUUGCCAUUAUACCUAAUGAAUGAGCCUGAGAUGAAAGCUAUGAACCCAGAAUAUCUCCUAGCAUGGUCUCAGUCUUAUGUGUGUCUCACAUGGAGUAUCUGUGUGUAACAUGGGUGAUUCGAAUGUUAAAUACGACAAUUUUCAAACAACAUGGCCACUCAAAGCAAACUAACAAUUUCAUCUAAUGGUCAAUGAAAGAACAAGGGAAAAUGGGAUUACAUGUCUUCCUAAUGGAUUUUUUUGUAAGGAUAAUUUUGACUCUAUGAUUUUUGUCUUAAGU